AACGCUAGCUACAGGCUUAACACAUGCAAGUCGAGGGGCAGCAUGAACUUAGCUUGCUAAGUUUGAUGGCGACCGGCGCACGGGUGAGUAACGCGUAUCCAACCUUCCGUACACUCAGGAAUAGCCUUUCGAAAGAAAGAUUAAUACCUGAUGGUAUGAUGAGAUUGCAUGAAAUCAUCAUUAAAGAUUCAUCGGUGUACGAUGGGGAUGCGUUCCAUUAGAUAGUAGGCGGGGUAACGGCCCACCUAGUCGACGAUGGAUAGGGGUUCUGAGAGGAAGGUCCCCCACAUUGGAACUGAGACACGGUCCAAACUCCUACGGGAGGCAGCAGUGAGGAAUAUUGGUCAAUGGGCGCGAGCCUGAACCAGCCAAGUAGCGUGAAGGAUGAAGGUCCUACGGAUUGUAAACUUCUUUUAUAAGGGAAUAAAGUCACNUACGUGUAGGUGUUUGUACGUACCUUAUGAAUAAGCAUCGGCUAACUCCGUGCCAGCAGCCGCGGUAAUACGGAGGAUGCGAGCGUUAUCCGGAUUUAUUGGGUUUAAAGGGAGCGUAGACGGGUCGUUAAGUCAGCUGUGAAAGUUUGAGGCUCAACCUUAAAAUUGCAGUUGAUACUGGCGUCCUUGAGUACGGUUGAGGCAGGCGGAAUUCGUGGUGUAGCGGUGAAAUGCUUAGAUAUCACGAAGAACUCCGAUUG
rnacentral:rRNA from 1 species